rnacentral:tRNA from 1 species
GCGAGAGCUCAGUUGCUACAGCAUCUGCCCGGUAAGCGGAGUAUCGCCAGUUCGACUCCUGCUCGCA